rnacentral:misc_RNA from 1 species
GAAAUGCGAUAAGUAAUGUGAAUUGCAGAAUUCCGUGAAUCAUCGAAUCUUUGAACGCACAUUGCGCCCUCUGGUAUUCCGGGGGGCAUGCCUGUCCGAGCGUCAUUGCGAACCCCUCAAGUACGGCUUGUGUGAUGGGCCCUCCCGCGUCUUGGUCGUCAAGACGGGCCCGAAAUGCAGUGGCGGCUUCGCGGUUAUCCGAUCAGCCAGAGCGUAUGGGGACUUUCUCUCUGUCACACGCCCGCGGCGCGGACCGACGCCUGUCGACCUUCAUUCAUCGUUUUCUCGGUUGACCUCGGAUCAGGUAGGGAUACCCGCUGAACUUAAGC